UAAUACUCCAUAGAUUAGAGACACUGGAAUGUUCUUUAGUCGAAAGUUCUGGCGCCUUAGGAUGGAUCUGCGGUCGAUUAGGUUGUUGUUGGGGUAACGGCCCAACAAGCCUGUAAUCGAUACGGGUUGUGGGAGCAAGAGCCCGGAGAUGGAAUCUGAGACACGAUUCCAGGCCCUACGGGGCGCAGCAGGCGCGAAAACUUUACAAUGCAGGAAACUGUGAUAAGGGAACUCCGAGUGCCCGUAUACGCGGGCUGUCCAGGUGUUUAAAAAUCAUCUGAAGAAAGGGCCGGGCAAGACCGGUGCCAGCCGCCGCGGUAAUACCGGCGGCUCGAGUGGUGGCCACUAUUAUUGGGCUUAAAGCGUCCGUAGCUGGACCGAUAAGUCUCUUGAGAAAUCCGCCGGCUCAACCGGCGGGCGUCUAAGGGAUACUGUUAGUCUAGGGACCGGGAGAGGUGAGAGGUACUCCGGGGGUAGGAGUGAAAUCCUGUAAUCCCCGGGGGACCACCGAUGGCGAAGGCAUCUCACCAGAACGGCUCCGACAGUGAGGGACGAAAGCUGGGGGAGCGAACCGGAUUAAAUACCCGGGUAGUCCCAGCCGUAAACUAUGCGCGUUAGGUGU
rnacentral:rRNA from 1 species